rnacentral:rRNA from 1 species
ACGUAGGAGACGAGCGUUAUCCGGAUUUACUGGGCGUAAAGAGCGUGUAGGAGGCGCUACAAGUUGGAUGUAAAAGCUCCCGGCUUAACUGGGAGAGGUCGUUCAAGACUGUAGAGCUAGAGUAAGGCAGAGGUAGAUGGAACUCCGGGAGUAGUGGUGAAAUGCGUAGAUAUCCGGAAGAACACCAGAGGCGAAAGCGAUCUACUGGACCUUAACUGACACUGAGACGCGAAAGCCAGGGUAGCAAACGG